rnacentral:rRNA from 1 species
GACGAACGCUGGCGGCGUGCUUAACACAUGCAAGUCGAACGGAAAGGCCUCUUUCGGGGGGUACUCGAGUGGCGAACGGGUGGGUAACACGUGAGUAACCUGCCCUUGACUUUGGGAUAACUUCAGGAAACUGGGGCUAAUACCGGAUAGGAGCUCCUGCUGCAUGGUGGGGGUUGGAAAGUUUCGGCGGUUGGGGAUGGACUCGCGGCUUAUCAGCUUGUUGGUGGGGUAGUGGCUUACCAAGGCUUUGACGGGUAGCCGGCCUGAGAGGGUGACCGGCCACAUUGGGACUGAGAUACGGCCCAGACUCCUACGGGAGGCAGCAGUGGGGAAUAUUGCACAAUGGGUGGAAGCCUGAUGCAGCAACGCCGUGUGCGGGAUGACGGCCUUCGGGUUGUAAACCGCUUUCGCUCAUGACGAAGCUUUGUGUGACGGUAGUGGGUAAAGAAGCACCGGCUAACUACGUG